GAGGGUGUAGCUCAUUGGUGGAGCACAUGCUUAGCAUGCAUGAGGUCCUAGGUUCAAUCCCUAGUACCUCCA
rnacentral:tRNA from 1 species